rnacentral:misc_RNA from 1 species
GAAAGCAUUAUGAUAAACCUUUUAUUGGUGUAUUAAGAUUUAUUCUAAAUCACUAUAAUGGUAUAUCUAGUUUUUAGAUCUUGCAUAUCUUCUAUUGAAAGCUCUUCUGUAAUCUGCUUUUGUUUAUAGAUUUAUCUAUAAGCGAAAUCAAUUUCUAUAUUUUUGACCUCAAAUCAGGCAGGAGUACCCGCUGAACUUAA